rnacentral:rRNA from 1 species
CCCUGGCUCAGGACGAACGCUGGCGGCAUGCCUAAUACAUGCAAGUCGAGCGGAGUUUUGUUGAAAGCUUGCUUUCAACAGGAUUUAGCGGCGGACGGGUGAGUAACACGUAGGCAACCUGCCCCAUAGUCUGGGAUAACUACCGGAAACGGUAGCUAAUACCGGAUAAUUCCUUUCCCCACCUGGGAAGAGGAUGAAAGACGGAGUAAUCUGUCGCUGAGGGAUGGGCCUGCGGCGCAUUAGCUAGUUGGUGGGGUAACGGCUCACCAAGGCGACGAUGCGUAGCCGACCUGAGAGGGUGAACGGCCACACUGGGACUGAGACACGGCCCAGACUCCUACGGGAGGCAGCAGUAGGGAAUCUUCCGCAAUGGGCGCAAGCCUGACGGAGCAAUGCCGCGUGAGUGAUGAAGGUUUUCGGAUCGUAAAGCUCUGUUGCCAGGGAAGAACGUCUUAUAGAGUAACUGCUAUAAGAGUGACGGUACCUGAGAAGAAAGCCCCGGCUAACUA